AGAGGGUGCGAGCGUUAAUCGGAAUUACUGGGCGUAAAGGGUGCGUAGGUAGUUUGUUAAGUUAGAUGUGAAAUCCCCGGGCUUAACCUGGGAAAGUCAUUUAAUACUGGCGAGCUAGAGUCGAGUAGAGGGAAGUGGAAUUUCCGGUGUAGCGGUGAAAUGCGUAGAUAUCGGAAGGAACACCGGUGGCGAAGGCGGCUUCCUGGACUUAGACUGACACUGAGGCACGAAAGCGUGGGUAGCAAACAGGAUUAGAUACCCUGGUAGUCCACGCUGUAAACGAUGAGAACUAGAUGUGGGGAGGCACAGCCUCUUCGUAUUGAAGCAAACGCGAUAAGUUCUCCGCCUGGGGAGUACGGCCGCAAGGCUA
rnacentral:rRNA from 1 species